CGCCUCUUGAAUAAGUAUAAGAGGUCCAGCCUGCCCAGUGACUCUGUUCAACGGCCGCGGUAUUCUAACCGUGCAAAGGUAGCGUAAUCACUUGUCCUUUAAAUGGGGACUGGUAUGAACGGCACCACGAGGGUUGCACUGUCUCCUUUUCCCAAUCAGUGAAACUGAUCUCCCCGUGAAGAAGCGGGGAUAUCAAUAUAAGACGAAAAGACCCUAUGGAGCUUUAAACAAAAUGACAAUCGCCAUCUUUAUCUAACUUCCAGAAUACCUGCCUCUAUUCUAGCGACAUGAUCAUUAGUUUUAGGUUGGGGUGACCACGGAGUAUAAACCAACCUCCGUAUUGAGGGCUUUCCCCCAAGCAAAAAGCCACAACUUUAUGCAUCAAUAAAUUGACAUCAAUUGACCCAAUAUUUUGACCAAUGAACCAAGUUACCCUAGGGAUAACAGCGCAAUCCAUUUCGAAAGCCCCUAUCGACAAAUGGGUUUACGACCUCGAUGUUGGAUCAGGGUAUCCUAGUGGUGCAGUCGCUACUAAAGGUUCGUUUGUUCAACGACUAAGACCCU
rnacentral:rRNA from 1 species